rnacentral:rRNA from 1 species
UACGGAGGUGGCAAGCGUUGUUCGGAUUUAUUGGGUGUAAAGGGUAUGUAGGUGUCCCGCUAAGUCCUUUUUGAAAUACUUUGGCUCAACCAAAGAAUUGGGAAGGAAACUGACGGGAUUGAGUGCAGGAAAGGAGAGCGGAAUUCCCGGUGUAAGGGUGAAAUCUGUAGAUAUCGGGAGGAACACCAGUGGCGAAAGCGGCUCUCUGGCCUGAUACUGACACUGAAAUACGAAAGCAAGGGGAGCAAACAGGAUUAGAUACCCGCGUA